UACGUAGGGUGCGAGCGUUAAUCGGAAUUACUGGGCGUAAAGCGUGCGCAGGCGGUGAUGUAAGACAGGUGUGAAAUCCCGGGGCUCAACCUCGGAACUGCAUUUGUGACUGCAUCGCUGGAGUGCGGCAGAGGGGGAUGGAAUUCCGCGUGUAGCAGUGAAAUGCGUAGAUAUGCGGAGGAACACCGAUGGCGAAGGCAAUCCCCUGGGCCUGCACUGACGCUCAUGCACGGAAAGCGUGGGGAGCAAACAGG
rnacentral:rRNA from 1 species